rnacentral:misc_RNA from 1 species
GAUGAAGAACGUAGCGAAAUGCGAUAAGUAAUGUGAAUUGCAGAAUUCAGUGAAUCAUCGAAUCUUUGAACGCACAUUGCGCCCGCUAGUAUUCUGGCGGGCAUGCCUGUCCGAGCGUCAUUUCAACCCUCAAGCCCCCGGGCUUGGUGUUGGGGAUCGGCGAGCCUCCGCGCCCGCCGUCCCCUAAAUCUAGUGGCGGUCUCGCUGUAGCUUCCUCUGCGUAGUAGCACACCUCGCACUGGGAAACAGCGCGGCCACGCCGUUAAACCCCCAACUUCUGAACGUUUGACCUCGGAUCAGGUAGGAAUACCCGCUGAACAUAAGCAUAUCAAUAAGCGGAGGA